GACGAACGCUGGCGGCGUGCUUAACACAUGCAAGUCGAACGGUAAGGCCCUUCGGGGUACACGAGUGGCGAACGGGUGAGUAACACGUGGGUGAUCUGCCCUGCACUUCGGGAUAAGCCUGGGAAACUGGGUCUAAUACCGGAUAGGACCACUGCCUGCAUGGGUGGUGGUGGAAAGAUUUUGCGGUGUGGGUUGGGCCCGCGGCCUAUCAGCUUGUUGGUGGGGUGAUGGCCUACCAAGGCGACGACGGGUAGCCGGGCUGAGUAGGUGACCGGCCAGACUGGGACUGAGAUGCGGCCCAGACUCCUACGGGAGGCAGCAAAGGGGACUAUUGCACAAUGGGAGCAAGCCUGAUGCAGCGAAGCCGCGUGAGGGAUGACGGCCUUCGGGUUGUAAACCUCUUUCAGCACCGACGAAGCGCAAGUGACGGUAGGUGCAGAAGAAGGACCGGCCAACUACGUGCCAGCAGCCGCAGUAA
rnacentral:rRNA from 1 species